GAUUAACGCUGGCGGCGUGCCUAACACAUGCCAGUCGAACGAUGAAGACUAUUAUACUUCUUCGCAACGAAAUUAAUCGGAUUAGUGGCGCAUGGGUGAGUAACGCGUGAGUAACCUGCCUUACACAAGCGGAUAGCCGUUUGAAACGCCGAAUAAUAUCCUAUUAAACUAUCACUGCGCAUGAAGCGCUAGUCAAUGUGGUAGCGGUGUAAGAUGGACUUGCGUCUGAUUAGCUAGUUGGUGAGAAAAAAGCCCACCAAGGCAACGAUCAGUAGCCGGCUGGGGAGAGGGUAAGGCAAAAUUGGGAUGAGGACACGGCCCAGACUCCAACGGGAGGAAGAAGUGGGGACAUUUGAACAAGGGGGGAAACCCUGAUGCGGCGAGGCCGGGUGAUUUAGAAGGCCUUCGGGUUGUAAAAAUCUUUUGUACAGGAAGAAAAUGACAGUACUAUACGAAUAAGGUCCGGCUAAUUACGUG
rnacentral:rRNA from 1 species